ensembl:lncRNA
AUUGAACAUUUUAAUAAGAGUCAUAAUACUGUGGAACUAGAUUUAACAUACAUAUCCACUGCUUUGAUGGAAGAAUGAUGAACAUUUAUGUUUGGCUUUCCAGAAGUCAAUGUCUGGCAAUAAUCAGGGUGUGUGUUGAUUCUUCUAAUUUUUUGUUUCCAUUUAUUUAUUUAUUUAUUUAUUUGGUCUAACUUGUUAAUUAUCAAUAUUUCCCACAGACACAAGAUUUCAUAUGUUGAGAACAGCAUAACAUAGUUAUCAGAUAUUGCUGCGGAUGAAAUGUGAAAUUGAACGGAUGAACAAUCCACGAAGAAAGAAUACGUGACAUUGAUUGUCAUGUCAUUUGUAUUAAGUAGGGUGGAAAGAGUAACUGAGGAUUUAUUAUGAUGUCAUGGUUUGCUGCAGUUAACACUGCACUGCAAUUAAUUUUAUUCUGAGGUUGCUUCAGGACAGACCAUUCUGUGGCCAGUAAUAACUAUCAUAUGGUAACUAUUUGAUGCUCUGAGCCAGGUAUAUUGAUAAAAUCAGCUGAAUUUAAAAGGAGCAGUUACUCAUAAUAAAGACUUAUGGCAACAACUGACAGUGUGUACACCUUUGCAAAGGUGUAUCAAAGAUAUACUUCCUAUCCAGGUCAUACUUCAACCUAUAUAGAAAAUUAAGAAAUGAUGCUGCAGUUUUAUGUGGUAGCAGAAAUACAUUUACAGCAUUCUGGGGAAGCGAAAAUUGACCAAAAAGUCUGAGAAAACAAAGUAUAUGAAAUUAAACAACUUUCUACUUGUUUUUCCAAUAAUCGUAAUGAUGAUGAUAUCAACAGGAAAAUUAUGAUUUACGAAAUCUAUCAAACAGGAUUACGUAAGAAAAGUUCUGCCAUAUAUGCUUUAUGCUCUUAAAAUGAAGGUAUGGCUGCUGUAUCCAUAACCAGAUUUGAUAUCUAUAUAUAUAAGGCAUUAGCAAAACUAUAUUGUGUAAUUUUCCUAUGGGAAAACCAAAGAAAAUAAACCAAAGGGGGAAAAAAAAAAAAAAAGGGAAAAAAAAGAAAUGGGAAGCCUGAAAUAUGAGAAUAUUGUUGAAUAAGCUUCAGACAUGAAUCAUGGCUCUUAAGAUCAUUGGUGUCAUUGAUCCAAGUUAAACAAAAAGGCUAAGCUAAUUCAGGUGCAAUACAAAUAACAGCUUUGUAUUUAGGAAACUGGAGACUCUCAGUGUUGGUAAAAAAGAAAGCUUAAAACCAGUGAGAUAAUAAUAUGCCACUGUUUAUUCUGAUAGCAGACAAAAACCUGCACGAUAUGUCAAAGUUCUACUAGGGAUAUUUAACUACUGUACUUUAAUCAUUUAUUAUGCAUGGCCGAGAAAUGAUUGCAUUAUUUUCUUAAGGAGCUAUGAAGGACAGGUCACAUAGCAUUCCCUCUGUUUCUUUUGUAAAAAAUCUUCUGAAUUGACUCAACAAACAUACUUGCAAAAAAAAAAAACAACCCAUCAGAAAGACAACUUGCUGAAAAACAGAGAAAUCUCCACAGCAGCUACAAACACAUCUCGUACCCAUCCAAAACAGGUGUUUGCAUUGUAAAUAGGGUGUCAACAACUGGAGAAACAGUGUGGUGCAAAUCCCAGUCCUGCUCAGCAGUUGCUGAAGUGGGGCUGCAGGAACUGGAAACAUCCCUAUGUUCUUACUCUUGCAGUAUGGUAUCUUAAUAUUUUGUCACAAGAUA